ACGAACGCUGGCGGCAUGCCUAACACAUGCAAGUCGAACGAGACCUUCGGGUCUAGUGGCGCACGGGUGCGUAACGCGUGGGAAUCUGCCCCUCGGUUCGGAAUAACAGUUAGAAAUGACUGCUAAUACCGGAUGAUGACGAAAGUCCAAAGAUUUAUCGCCGAGGGAUGAGCCCGCGUAAGAUUAGCUAGUUGGUAGGGUAAAGGCCUACCAAGGCGACGAUCUUUAGCUGGUCUGAGAGGAUGAUCAGCCACACUGGGACUGAGACACGGCCCAGACUCCUACGGGAGGCAGCAGUGGGGAAUAUUGGACAAUGGGCGCAAGCCUGAUCCAGCCAUGCCGCGUGAGUGAUGAAGGUCUUAGGAUUGUAAAGCUCUUUCACCGAUGAAGAUAAUGACGGUAGUCGGAGAAGAAGCCCCGGCUAACUUCGU
rnacentral:rRNA from 1 species